rnacentral:rRNA from 1 species
UGUUCGCCUGUUUUUCAAAAACAUAGCCCCUAGAAUAGAUUGGGGGUGAAUUCUGCCCAAUGAAAAAUUCAAUGGCCGCGGUACACUGACCGUGCUAAGGUAGCAUAAUCAUUUGGCUUUUGAAUGGAGUCUGGAAUGAACGGAAUCACGGGGUUAAGCUGUCUCUUUGUUAAUUUCUUGAAUUUACUAAUUAGGCGAAAAGGCCUAAAAAUGAAAAAAGACGAGAAGACCCUUAGAGUUAACAUUUUGUUGGGGCGACAUGGGAACAAUAAACUUCCCAGAUUAAAAUGUGACAGAUUUUUCAUGAACAGACAAACUACCUAAGGGAUAACAGCAUAAUCUUUUAUGGUUUAUGACCUCGAUGUUGGACUAGGAAGCUAUUAGGCUAGCCGCCUAAUUAGGGGAUUCUGUUCGAAUUAUUACUCCUACGUGAUCUGAGUUCAGACCGGA